rnacentral:rRNA from 1 species
AUGAGGAACGCGACCCCCGCUGCCAACCCCUCCAUCUCCUUCCACUGCCUCCCGCAGGUCAAGGUCCCGCCGCUCGACUCCGACCUCCCCGAGGCGAUCACCUACGAGGUCGCCGGCCUCUCCAUCCCACACCUCCGUGGCUUCCUCGCCGGCGCCUCCUCGGCCGUCCUCAUCGUCGACUUCUUCUGCAGCAUCGUGCUCGACGUCGCCGCGGAGCUCGGCGUCCCAGGGUACUAUUUCUUCACGUCCGCCGCCGAGGCGCUGGCCUCCAACCUGUAUCUCCCAGACCUGCAUGCCCGGAGCGCCGCCAACUUUCGGGAAAUGGGAGAGGAGCUCGUGCACGUGCCGGGGAUCCCCGCGCUUCCGCACUUCCCCAAGCCGCUCAUGGACCAUGACGACGCGGCAUACAUAUGGUCCCUCAGAGUGUCCCCCAACCUCUGCCGCUCCAAGGGCAUCAUCGUCAACACCUUCCGCUCGCCCGAGCCACGCGCGGUGGACGCCAUCGCCGCCGGGCUCUGCACGCCUCCCGGCCUCCCGACUCCCCCCGUCUACUGCAUCAGGCCGCUCAUAAAGUCAGAGGAUGUGGGCGUGAAGCGCAGCCACAAGUGCCUGGCAUGGCUGGACACGCAGCCGACGGCCAGCGUGGUGUCCCUCUGCUUCGGCAGCCUCGGCGUGUUCAACGCAGAGCAGAUCAGGCAGGUGGCCAUCGGCCUGGAAGCCAGCGGCAAGAGGUUCCUAUGGGUCGUGCGGUGCCAGACCUCGACGCCCUCCUCCCGGAGGGCUUCCUGGACCGGACCAAGGGGACGGGCCUCGUCGUCAAGUCACGGGCGCCGCAGCGCGACGUGCUGGUGCAUGGCGCGGUGGACGGUUUCAUGA